rnacentral:rRNA from 1 species
UGGGGAAUAUUGGACACUGGGCGAAAGCCUGAUCCAGCCAUGCCGCGUGUGUGAAGAAGGUCUUCUGAUUGUAAAGCACUUUAAGUUGGGAGGAAGGGCAGUAAGCGAAUACCUUGCUGUUUUGACGUUACCGACAGAAUAAGCACCGGCUAACUCUGUGCCAGCAGCCGCGGUAAUACAGAGGGUGCAAGCGUUAAUCGGAAUUACUGGGCGUAAAGCGCAAGUAGGUGGUUCGUUAAGUUGAAUGUGAAAGCCCCGGGCUCAACCUCGGAACUGCAUCCAAACCUGGCGAGCUAUAGUAGGGCAGAGGGUGGUGGAAUUUCCUGUGUAGCGGUGAAAUGCGUAAAUAUAGGAAAGAACACCAGUCGCAAAGGCGACCACCUGGGCUCAUACUGACACUGAGGUGCGAAAGCGUGGGGAGCAAACAGG